UCAGAUUGAACGCUGGCGGCAGGCCUAACACAUGCAAGUCGAGCGGUAGAGAGAAGCUUGCUUCUCUUGAGAGCGGCGGACGGGUGAGUAAUGCCUAGGAAUCUGCCUGGUAGUGGGGGAUAACGUUCGGAAACGGACGCUAAUACCGCAUACGUCCUACGGGAGAAAGCAGGGGACCUUCGGGCCUUGCGCUAUCAGAUGAGCCUAGGUCGGAUUAGCUAGUUGGUGAGGUAAUGGCUCACCAAGGCGACGAUCCGUAACUGGUCUGAGAGGAUGAUCAGUCACACUGGAACUGAGACACGGUCCAGACUCCUACGGGAGGCAGCAGUGGGGAAUAUUGGACAAUGGGCGAAAGCCUGAUCCAGCCAUGCCGCGUGUGUGAAGAAGGUCUUCGGAUUGUAAAGCACUUUAAGUUGGGAGGAAGGGUUGUAGAUUAAUACU
rnacentral:rRNA from 1 species